AUCUUUAAAGUUAAAGAAUAUGGCAGUAUUUUAAUUUUUUCAGAGGAACCUGUUAUAUAAUUGAUAGUCCACGAUUAGUUUUACUUAUUUUUUAAAUUUAUAUAUCAUUGUAGUUAAAUAUUUUUAAAAUUUAAUUUUAUCAAAUCAAGGUAUAGUUUAUAGGUAAGAAGAUAUGGGUUACAAUUAAAAAUUGGAUUUGAAAGUAAACUCUAAAAUAUGUACAUAUUGCCCGUCGCUUUUGUUUUUAAAUGAAAUAAGUCGUAACAAAGUAGGUUUACUGGAAAGUGAGUCUAGAAUCAAAUUAGAGCUUGAAAAGUAUUUUAUUUACAUUAAAAAGAUAAUUUAAUAAUUUAAUUUGAUUUAUAUCAAAAAAAUUAUUGUAUAUAAAAUUUUAAAGUUUAUAAAAGAAAAAGUUUUAUUUUUAGUAUUAUUGAAAAAAUUUUAUAAUAGUUUAUUAGUAUUGUGAAAGAAAUUGUUUAAUUAUAUAAAAGAAAAAUUAAGUUUUGUACCUGUGUAUCAGGGUUAAUUAAUUUAUUUUUCUCGAAUUUAAAAGAUUUAAUUUUAUUGUAAAAUAAAUAUUUAUAAUUAUAAAUUGGAAAUGAAACGUUAUUCGUUUUUAAAUAUAUCUAGUUUUAAAAGAAAAUAGUUUAAUUAGUUUUUUUUUUUAUAAAAUUUUUAGGGAUAAGCUUAAAAGAUAAUUUUUAUAAAAAUUUAUAUAUAAAAAAUUUUUAGAAUUAAAAAUUUUUAUUAUUAAUAGUAUGUUAUAGUUAAUUUUUAAUUUGUUUAUUUUAAAAUAUUUUUUAAUUAGAUAAAAAUAGAUAUUAUGAUUAAAUUAGUAAGGUUAGUUUUAGGAACUCGGCAAAUAUUUUCUCACCUGUUUAUUAAAAACAUGUCUUUUUGAUAAUAAUUUAAAGUCUAAUCUGCCCACUGUAUAAAUGGCCGCAGUAUAUUGACUGUGCAAAGGUAGCAUAAUAAAUAGUUUAUUAAUUAUAAGCUAGUAUGAAUGAUUGAAUGAGGAAAAUUCUGUCUUUAGAAUUUUAUUUUUAAGUUAAAAAGCUUAAAUAAAUUUUAUAGACGAGAAGACCCUAUAGAGUUUUUUGAUUGGGGUGAUUAAAAAAUUUAAUGAACUUUUUUUU
rnacentral:rRNA from 1 species